AGUGAACGCUGGCGGUAGGCCUAACACAUGCAAGUCGAACGGCAGCACAGUAAGAGCUUGCUCUUACGGGUGGCGAGUGGCGGACGGGUGAGGAAUACAUCGGAAUCUACUUUUUCGUGGGGGAUAACGUAGGGAAACUUACGCUAAUACCGCAUACGACCUACGGGUGAAAGCAGGGGAUCUUCGGACCUUGCGCGAUUGAAUGAGCCGAUGUCGGAUUAGCUAGUUGGCGGGGUAAAGGCCCACCAAGGCGACGAUCCGUAGCUGGUCUGAGAGGAUGAUCAGCCACACUGGAACUGAGACACGGUCCAGACUCCUACGGGAGGCAGCAGUGGGGAAUAUUGGACAAUGGGCGCAAGCCUGAUCCAGCCAUACCGCGUGGGUGAAGAAGGCCUUCGGGUUGUAAAGCCCUCUUGUUGGGAAAGAAAAGCAGCAGGUUAAUACCCCGCUGUUCUGACGGUACCCAAAGAAUUAGCACCGGCUAACUUCGUG
rnacentral:rRNA from 1 species